AUCUACCCAUGGCCAGGUUGAAGGUGCGGUAACACGCACUGGAGGACCGAACCCGUUGAAAAAGUCGGGGAUGAGCUGUGGCUAGGGGUGAAAGGCCAAUCAAACUCGGAAAUAGCUGGUUCUCCGCGAAAUCUAUUUAGGUAGAGCGUCGGAUGAAUACUCUCGGGGGUAGAGCACUGGAUGGGCUAUGGGGGCUUACCGCCUUACUGAUCCUAACCAAACUCCGAAUACCGAGAAGUACUAUCCGGCAGACACACAGUGGGUGCUAACGUCCAUUGUGGAGAGGGAAACAACCCUGACCGCCAGUUAAGGUCCCUAAGUUAUGGCUAAGUGGGAAAGGAUGUAGGACUCCCAAAACAACCAGGAUGUUGGCUUAGAAGCAGCCAUCAUUUAAAGAAAGCGUAACAGCUCACUGGUCUAAAUAAGGGGUCCCGCGCCGAAAAUGUACCGGGGCUCAAGCCAUACACCGAAACUGCGGGUGCAUCUUAUGAUGCGCGGUAGCGGAGCGUUCUGUAAGUCUGCGAAGGGAUACCCGUGAGGGGUCUUGGAGAUAUCAGAAGUGCGAAUGCUGACAUGAGUAACGAUAAAGCGGGUGAGAGACCCGCUCGCCGAAAGUCCAAGGGUUCCUGCGCAACGCUAAUCGGCGCAGGGUUAGCCGGCCCCUAAGGCGAGGCCGAAAGGCGUAGUCGAUGGGAAUGCAGUUAAUAUUCUGCAGCUUGGUGGUAGUGACGGAUGCAGUGUGUUGUAUCUCCUUAUUGGAUUGGGGGUGCAGCGAAUGUGUUCCAGGAAAUAGCUCCACCGUAUAAACCGUACCCGAAACCGACACAGGUGGACUGGUAGAGAAUACCAAGGCGCUUGAGAGAACUAUGCUGAAGGAACUCGGCAAAAUGCUCCCGUAAGUUCGCGAGAAGGGAGACCUCAGUUCGGGCAACCGGAUUGGGGUGGCACAGACCAGGGGGUGGCGACUGUUUAUCAAAAACACAGGGCUCUGCGAAGUCGCAAGACGACGUAUAGGGUCUGACGCCUGCCCGGUGCUGGAAGGUUAAGAGGAGGUGUGCAAGCACCGAAUUGAAGCCCCAGUAAACGGCGGCCGUAACUAUAACGGUCCUAAGGUAGCGAAAUUCCUUGUCGGGUAAGUUCCGACCUGCACGAAUGGCGUAACGACUUCCCCGCUGUCUCCAGCAUAGACUCAGUGAAAUUGAAUUCCCCGUGAAGAUGCGGGGUUCCUGCGGUCAGACGGAAAGACCCCGUGCACCUUUACUACAGCUUCACACUGGUAUUCGUCACGACAUGUGUAGGAUAGGUGGUAGACGUUGAAACAAGGGCGCCAGCUCUUGUGGAGUCACCCUUGAAAUACCACCCUUGUCGUCAUGGAUAUCUAACCGCGGUACAACAAUAUCCGGGACCGUGUGUGGCGGGUAGUUUGACUGGGGCGGUCGCCUCCCAAAUGGUAACGGAGGCGCGCGAAGGUGGGCUCAGAGCGGUCGGAAAUCGCUCGUUGAGUGCAAUGGCAUAAGCCUGCCUGACUGCGAGACUGACAAGUCGAGCAGAGACGAAAGUCGGCCAUAGUGAUCCGGUGGUCCCUCGUGGAAGGGCCAUCGCUCAACGGAUAAAAGGUACGCCGGGGAUAACAGGCUGAUGAUGCCCAAGAGUCCAUAUCGACGGCAUUGUUUGGCACCUCGAUGUCGGCUCAUCGCAUCCUGGGGCUGGAGCAGGUCCCAAGGGUUUGGCUGUUCGCCAAUUAAAGCGGUACGUGAGCUGGGUUUAGAACGUCGUGAGACAGUUCGGUCCCUAUCUGCCGUGGGUGUAGGAGAAUUGAGAGGAUCUGCCCCUAGUACGAGAGGACCGGGGUGGACGUACCUCUGGUGGACCAGUUGUCGCGCCAGCGGCACAGCUGGGUAGCUAUGUACGGACUGGAUAACCGCUGAAAGCAUCUAAGCGGGAAACCAACCUCGAAACUAAUUCUCCCUUGAGAACCGUGGAAGACGACCACGUUGAUAGGCCAGGUGUGUAAGUGCAGCAAUGUAUUGAGCUUACUGGUACUAAUCGUUCGAUUGGCUUGAUUAC
rnacentral:rRNA from 1 species